rnacentral:lncRNA from 12 species
ACACCGCGGGCUGCGGACGGCUCACCGCACACUCCUCGGGAAAACUGCGGAAACCUGCCCUGACUGACAGCUUGUUUUCGUUUUUGAAUGUGCCUGGAAGCAGUAACAAGGAAAAUGUACUUGCCUAUGAGCAUUUGGGGAUUUGUGCAAAUUUGGGAGCUUGUACAGCUGUUGUUUUAAUGGAGCGGUACAAGGGAGAGGGCAGCUCUAUUCACAUUCUGCGAGUCAACAUACUGGUUUAGGCUACCAGCCUUCAGAAGCCCUGCCUGUGCCAGAUGCCUCGAUAAAGGUCAGAG